GACGUAGGGCGCGAGCGUUGUCCGGAUUUAUUGGGCGUAAAGAGCUCGUAGGCGGCUUGUCGCGUCGACUGUGAAAACCCGCGGCUCAACUGCGGGCCUGCAGCCGAUACGGGCAGGCUAGAGUUCGGUAGGGGAGACUGGAAUUCCUGGUGUAGCGGUGAAAUGCGUAGAUAUCAAGAGGAACACCUGAGGUGAAGACGGGUUGCUGGGCUGACACUGACGCUGAUGCGCGAAAGCCAGGGGAGCAAACGGG
rnacentral:rRNA from 1 species